AUUGAAACAAAUUACAUCUAACUGUAUUCAAAUAAAAUUUUCAAAAUAUUUUUUGUGCUGAAUUUUUUUCGAAUAUUUUGUGAUUAUUACCAAAUAAAAUAUUUUAAACUAACUUUUAUAAAAGCAUUGAAAAAGUUUAUAUAAAACAGAUAAUGAAGUUUCUAUUUCAAUUACAACUAUAAGUGAAGUUUUUCAAAAACCUGAAUCAUGUAAACUGCAAUCGCCAUGCCCUCGGACACCCAGAAUUGUUCAUCGAAGCCAAUAUUUAAAGGAUUGACUCAAUCAUUUCUGAAUACUUUUGGCACGAAGGAAUUGCCAGCGGGAUACGUGAAAGGAGACGGUUAUGGUCCAAAGACGAAGAAACAACAUUUCGCAAAGUUAUUUACUCAAUUCUACAUUCUUAUAUUGCUGGCUAUUAUAUGUGUUUUUGCUUUUCUCCUGAUGAUUAUACUCUUGUUGUGGUAUUGCAACAGAGACAAAUAUAAAUCAGAGCCAUGUAGGAACCCAAAAUUAUGUACUAGAUUACUAACUUCAUUGCUUCUACUGUCGCUUAUAUUGCUAGCACUCUUCCUUUUCAUUACUUUCAAUAAUCUUUUGCAUCUAAAUAAAUUAUAUAAUAAAUCAAAUAAUGAAUCAAGAACUUCUGAUGGCGGGAUAAUUAAAGAUGUCAACGAAAUCCUUGGAAAGAAUUUUAGAGACUUAACAAAUACAUCAUUAUUUGAAUGCAGAAAAUCUCCGUCCCUGAUAGAUGUUUAUCCUGAAACAACAAACGCGAGAAAACUUUCAAUAGCCUACCGCCAAAUGUUCGAAAAUUUCAGAACAACAUCAGUCAAUCCAAUUUUCCAAAAUAUUUUACUGUAUGAUGAUUUAUUUCGCACGUUUUCCCGAAAUUUUAGUGCCUUUUAUGCACCAACGGCGUCUGGAAAGGUUCUUAUUUCUAAAACCAAAUCUACUCUCUAUAAUGAUCAAAUAUUUUCAUUACACAAAUGGGGGCAACUUUAUCAUUCUGCAGCCCCAAUUAAAUAUUUGAUGGAUUAUUAUAAAAAUACGGCGCGGUCGGACCAAAUACGGCCACGUGUCUGCGAUCAAAUUGGGAAAUACUUUACUACAUUAGCUUCGUAUGCCCAAGGGCAGAAGAGUUAUAUCGAAGGAAAGUUUAAAUCUAACUCCCUGAGCAGAGAUCCGGUUAUGGCGCCACCAUACAUAUUUGGUCAAAUAGUGUGCAUUAUGGCGAUUGUGAUUCUUGUGGUGUUUUUCUUAUUCUUAAUGUGCACAUUGUGUAUGAAAGGCCAUAUUAUGAUUAAGGCACUGUUAUUUAUUUUCAUAAUACUCACACUGCUUUUAAUACUGAUGUCGUUUGUUACAUUUUACCAUUUCUUCUAUGGGGUUAUUGAAUAUAAUGGAUUAUGUGAUAUAAAGGGAGACACGGCUGGAGAAGACAAUUUCAAUCACGUGAUGUUAACAGAAUGUACCAACGACCAGAAUUUAUAUACAUUACUGGUAGAACAUAAUAUGAUCGUGCCAUUUUCCAAGUGGAUUGAUAUAGAUGGAACAAAUAUAAUGAAAGUCUGCAAAGAUACAUGCCGUCCCUUGAACAAGUCGCUCCUAGAGGAGUUACGACCAAACGUUGAGGGUUUUCCGAAAAGGAAUCAAUUUUGUAAAUUUAAAAUGAUCACAUCUACGUGGCUUAUAUAUAUAGGUUUAUCACAUAUUUAUUAUGUUUCGGAAAAAAAUCCCGACUCCAUGGUUGACCUCGAUUCUAAAACAACUUAUUACUACAAUCGUGUCAACUCCACACUUUGCCUUUUGGAUUUGGCAAAUCAGGCAUACAAUUUUCACCCAAGUAUCAAUAGUAGAACACAAUAUAUGAAAUGCAGAGCUGCUUACAAAGUAGGUAAAGAUUUCCGCACGGUCUUUCCGAAUUCCAUUACGGAAGUGGGAACUAUGUGUGAUAAGACUACCAGUAAAUGUAAAGACUUUCACGAUCAAAAUAUACCAAAAAUCGUUGCUGAUGUAACUAAAUAUAAAGAAAAUGCUGAAGUCAGACUUAAGAAGGCGCUGGGAUCAUGUGCAAAUGUUCUUCCUAUAGUUACAACAAAACAAACAAAAUCAUGUGAUUGCGAAACGUAUAUACUGAACGGUGUCUGGGUUGGUGGUUUGCUGUUCGUACUAACUUUGUUAUUGGUGCUACUUUUGCUGAUCUGUUUAAUAUGUAAACUUGAAAGAUGUAGAGAUCCUUAUGGGGAUGGAAGUCGCAAAGGACAGCGUGGACGUGGAAAGUCGCAUGAUACCACCCCGGAGUCGAUACUACUGCCGGCGAUAACAUUACCAAGACGUGUAAUAGAUACACUAGAGCAUGAUGAAAAUCCCAGAGUUACCUACCACGUAAAAAAACAAAAUUAAUUGCGAGUGCCUGGGUCCGAUCGAUAUCCGAUAUAUAUUCUGUUCAUAUAGAAACAUUUGAAUGAAUAGCAUUGAAUGAUUAGACAGAGAAUAGUAAAUAGAACAGAAAGAAAAUAUUUGUUGUCACGAAUACUUAUAUUUUAUAAAUCAAUUAUUAUUCGAAAUUAAUACUGAUAUCAAAUGCGGUGAGCGUCAAACUACAAACGAAUUUUAUUAACGAAAAGUUUGAAACGUUAUUUGAGCCGACAACUAGGGAUCAUAAGGCUCCAUACAAGUUUGGAUACAUUAUAUGUAUUAUAGCCAUUGUGGUUCUUGCCAUUUUUCUAAUACUUCUAUUGUGCACUUACGAUUACGAGUUACAGAAUACGAUCGAUGAUUCUGAAAUUAAUGACGAUUGCUUAGACACUUGCAUCCCAUUGGAACGACAAUUAUUAAAUAUUUGGCAUAACUCCAUAAACGAAUAUCCAGAGGAAAAUUUGUGUCAAUAAAAGGAACAGAAUAAUAGUGGCUAAAUAUCAUCAUUAGCACCCGUCAGAAUUAUACGAAAGAUAACCGAAUUUUCGAUACUCUCCCAAAUAAAAUUAAUUUUCUCGAUAUUUAUAAUGAAUUUUGUGACAAAUAUAAGAUUGGGACCACCCGUGCAUUCGACGUUGGCAAAUUCCGAAUGUCAAGGUUA